rnacentral:rRNA from 1 species
CGAAGUGGAGCAAAUCCCUAAAAGACGGUCUCAGUUCGGAUUGAAGGCUGAAAUUCGCCUUCAUGAAGCUGGAAUUGCUAGUAAUGGCAGGUCAGCAUACUGCCGUGAAUACGUUCCCGGGCCUUGUACACACCGCCCGUCACACCAUGAGAGUUGGAAAUACCCGAAGCCUGUGAGCUAACUGUAAAGAGGCAGCAGUCGAAGGUAGAGCCAAUGAUUGGGGUGAAGUCGUAACAAGGUAUC